rnacentral:rRNA from 1 species
AAAGGAAUAGACGGGGGCCCGCACAAGCGGAGGAGCAUGUGGCUUAAUUCGAUGCAACGCGAAGAACCUUACCCAGACUUGACAUGUGACUGCACGCCCUGUGAAAGCAGGGUUCCUUCGAGGGUGUCACACAGGUGCUGCAUGGCUGUCGUCAGUUCGUGCCGUGAGGUGUUUGGUUAAGUCCACCAACGAACGCAACCCCUGCGUCCAUUUGCCAACAGGUAAUGCUGGGAACUAUGGACGGACUGCCCCUUCAAACGGGAGGAAGGUGGGGAUGACGUCAAGUCAGUAUGGCCCUUACGUCUGGGGCUGCACACGUGCUACAAUGGUCGGUACAGCAGGAAGCAAGACCGCAAGGUGGAGCAAAACCCUAAAGCCGGCCUCAGUUCGGAUUGGAGUCUGCAAUUCGACUCCAUGAAGUUGGAUUCGCUAGUAACGGCGCAUCAGCAUUUGGUGCCGUGAAUACGUUCCCGGGCCUUGUACACACCGCCCGU